rnacentral:rRNA from 1 species
UACAGAGGGUGCAAGCGUUAAUCGGAUUUACUGGGCGUAAAGCGUGUGUAGGUGGCCGCGUAAGUCGAUUGUGAAAUCCCUGGGCUCAACCUGGGAAUUGCAGUCGAUACUGCGGGGCUCGAGUUCGGUAGAGGGCAGCAGAAUUCCCGGUGUAGCGGUGAAAUGCGUAGAUAUCGGGAGGAAUACCGAUGGCGAAGGCAACUGCCUGGGCCUGAACUGACACUGUGACGCGAAAGCGUGGGUAGCAAACAGG